GCAACGCCUUCUAACUUCAGUUCCCAUUAAUUUUCUCAUUUAAUCUGACCAGUAACAUCUACAUCCCACUCGCCCCACUCUGUAUCAUCCUCGCAGAUUCAUCAGUGACGUCGUAGUUUAGAUCGAUAGGCAGCAAGGUGAUGGAGAGAAUCUUGCGGAGAAUGAGAUUAAGCUUCAUUCCAUGGUAGAAAUAGGUCACGCGGAGCCGCUGGAUCAAUCAGAAGCUUCGGGUUGCCGUCUCGAAUACAUUCUCUCUUGACUUAUAAAGAAAAGGUAGGAGAGAGCGAGGAUCCCAUUCGUUCUCUCUUAGCACCGCAUCGUCUUCCCUGUCUGAUCGCUUUUUUCUCGGUCUUUCGUGUCUGAGCCAUGGCUUCGAAGAAGAUUUUGAAAGAGCUCAACGAUUUGCAGAAGGAUCCUCCCUCUAACUGCAGCGCAGGGUUUCCAAUAUAGUUCUGGUUGCUUUGAGAGGGACGAAUGCCUUCAUCUACUUUAGAUUUUGCUUCAGAUUCAUUCAGCAUAAGCUAGGCGGUUCUUCAGUCUGACUACGAGAAGCUUCAAGCCUAGAAGUUUGAUUUCAAAUAAAAUACAAUGAGCUUUUAGCUAAACCUGAGGAAACCCUCAAAUAGCAGUUCAGAUAUCUCGAAGAGGCGAGGAGCUAAGUCCUCUCUCCGGAGUUUUUAUCGCCUUCUUCUCAGCAUCACAGACCAUUAUCGUCGACUGUUCAAUGCCACAGCGGUGAAGAAGGUUAAUAGUUGGGACGAUUGUUGUUGGGAAGAUGGAUAUGGAUCAGUUCGGUAUGGGAAGCCCAACUGAAGCUUUCGUUCUUUCAGGUAACUGCAGAGUCUUGGGACUUGACACGUGUAGCGGGAAGUUCAUCAGGAGGAUCAGCAGUAGCUGUUGCAGCAAUAUUGUGUCUCAUGGUAGUGAUACUGGUGGGAGUGUGAGAUAGCUAGCUUCGCUUUGUGGUGUUGUGGUCUUAAGCCAACUUACGGUCGUGUCUCUAUGUUUGGACCAAUGGCAUAUGCAUCUUCGUUGGAUGUCAUUGGUUGCUUAGCUCUUUGUUUGCUGAUGCUGGGAUGCUUCUUCAUGCGCGCUCCGGAUAUGAGAGGGUUGAAUCCACGAGUAGCAAACAGUUUGAAGGGAGGCAAAGGGGGUCCAUCCGCGAGAUGCUCGAAGAUGGUGUUGAUUCUGGAGUGAGAUCUUCAGCUUAGAAGCAUUGGGUUGUGUACUGAUAGAGGUUUUCUUUCCGUCAUUCUCUCUUUGACUACCAGCUUAAUAUAUAGUGCACGAUGAAUCAAUGUGGACAGAGUUUUGGUGUAGAGGCAGAAGUGAUGAAGGCGCAGCUGAAAAGAGUUCUUAGUGGUGUCAUAAUGUUCAUGUGAUUUUCUUCUUGCAACACUUAUUAUUAUGCGUGCGAACGGUUCACGAUCCAAACCCAAGGAUUUGCAGCCUGUAUGUCUUCCCUCGAGAACCUUAUCAAGGCAAUCAUUACUUUAUGUUAGGAACAAAUUUUCUAAAGAACAUGAACACACAUUGACUCGGUUACUAUUAUUUUCCAAGCUGUCGAAUAACAAAUGUCAUGUAAGGCUCAAAGUCGGAAUAGACCAUGCCAUCUGAAAAAAAAAAAAAAGAGAUGGAAGAUGUGCUUAGUUCUAA